GAGUUUGAUCUUGGCUCAGAAUGAACGCUGGCGGCAUGCCUAACACAUGCAAGUCGAACGAAGGCUUCGGCCUUAGUGGCGCACGGGUGCGUAACGCGUGGGAAUCUGCCCUUGGGUUCGGAAUAACAGUUAGAAAUGACUGCUAAUACCGGAUGAUGUCGUAAGACCAAAGAUUUAUCGCCCAAGGAUGAGCCCGCGUAGGAUUAGCUAGUUGGUGGGGUAAGGGCCCACCAAGGCGACGAUCCUUAGCUGGUCUGAGAGGAUGAUCAGCCACACUGGGACUGAGACACGGCCCAGACUCCUACGGGAGGCAGCAGUGGGGAAUAUUGGACAAUGGGCGAAAGCCUGAUCCAGCAAUGCCGCGUGAGUGAUGAAGGCCUUAGGGUUGUAAAGCUCUUUUACCCGGGAUGAUAAUGACAGUACCGGGAGAAUAAGCUCCGGCUAACUUCGUGCCAGCCGCCGCCGUAAC
rnacentral:rRNA from 1 species